AAGUUGCUACCUAAAACUUGGUUGAAUUCUCAUACACAUAUUUACCACAGUACACAAGAUAAGCCAUACUUUUAAAAAGGUAUAUUAGUUAUUUUGAAACAAGAGCAAUUGUAUAUUAUUUAGCCAUAGCUGUUUCCUCCUUUAUUGAGACACUUAAAUUUAAAGAAACACAAACAAAUGAUAUUACAGAUAAUUUUGUUAAGGAAAACUCUAUUGCCAGGAAGGCAUGAGAUAAACAUAAUUUCUUUAUUUUAAAAAAAUUCAAAUAUUCCAUCUUAUUAAUUUGUAAGGAUUGUUCAAUCAAAAUUAAUAAAAAUCAUUAAAAGGAGGAUAUGCCCACUGUAUUGUAGAAUUUACUUAAGGACAUGAUAGAUAGCUACACUAGACAACAUCUACAGAGGUGUGUGUGUGUGUGUGUGUGUGUGUGUGUGUGUGUGUGUGUGUGUACUAAAAAUUGAACCCAGGGCUUACAAGUGCUAGGAGAAUCUUCUAUACUUGGUUCUUGAUCAGCCCAAUAUUGAUAAAUAUCAAUACAUAUAAACAGCUAUGGUUCUUCUAAUAUUCAUCCUGCAUUCAUAUUCCUGAUCUCCUAAUCUUAAGAGUCUCUAUUGAUGGUUAAGAGUGACAUCUCAAUCCAGAUGUUUUAGUUUUGAGUUAUUCUAAGUCCCAUGACAUUUUGCCUUGUACCUUGCACUACAAGUUCUUCCUUGUAAAAUGGUUCUUGAAAUAGGUUUCAUGCAAUUGCCUGCGCAUACUAGUGAAGAGGUAGAGUUGGUAACUGUGGUUUUUCAAUAUAGAAAUGGAUAAAUAAUUGCCCCAAAUAUUUGUGUUCUACACUUAAAUUAAAAAGAAAACUUUCUUCUUCUGUAUCCAUUAAGCUUAUUCAGUAUUCAGAUUGUGUGUCUUUCUGUUUGUCUCAGUCAGUACUUAUAGAUUAAAGGAUAAAGACACGUUUUUCCUGAAAUAUGGAGAUAUAGUUAACAAAUUCAGGCUAGAAGAAGGGCUGUUAAACAUUUCAUAUAGGUGGGCAUGCAGAUGAGGCUGAUGAGGAAAGUGAGACCUGCGAUUUAGAAUAAUUGGUGAGGAGCAAUUUUCAUGAAUAGAAAAAAACAAAAGAACCUAAGAAAACUAUUUCCUCUUCAGCCAGAUUUUUGUUUAUGGUGCAAAACUAUGUAUCUCCAUGUGAAAAGACAGAUGAUGUCACAAAUUUAAUUAGCAUAUUUUCCACUUUUCUAUUUUCCUUUAGGUACUUAUAUGACAAGCAAAAUAAAAAAGAUGAAGAGAAAAAUGGAUUUUUUUUCUUAUACACUUUUUUUUUUUUUUAACCACAGGACAUGAUAUAAACCAUACUUUAAAAGAGGUAUAUUAGUUAUCUUGAAACAAGAGCAAUUGUAUAUUAUUUUUCUGUUUAGGAGUCCUAAUAGAAUUCAUUUUAUUUAUUUGUCUUUGCAAAUAGGUAAUUU
rnacentral:lncRNA from 1 species